AGGCCUUAGUUUGACUGUUUUCCAUUCAUUUUUUUCAAAAUGUAUCUCUUGGACUAUAUUGCCAACAGCAUGUGAUAUUAAGUGUGAGACUGGACAUCAUUUAAAAAAAAAUAAGACAUGCAUGUUCCACUUCUCCCAGAACUUUCCAGAGAGUUAGCAAAAAAAAAAAACCCCACCCGUUACCAUGACGACGUUAAUUUCCGUUUUUUUAUACUCCAUGGCAAAUGGAAGCUAAAACAGUAUAGAGUAGACAGAAAUUAGCAAAAGCAUUUUUUUAUUUCAGGCAUUUUUUUUUUCUGACUUUAUGGCUGGUGAUACAAUGGACGCAGCUACAUUUUAAGAAUUAUUUUUUAAAAAGGAAUUCUGCAACUUUUCCCAGCUUGCCAUGCUCUUCGCGUCAUAAACCCGCGCGCCGUAAGUGCAUGGGUGCCCCUGGAUGACGUCAAUAUUGCGUUGUAUGAUGGAAACCGCCUUCGUGUGUUGCAUGAUGGGAAUUGUAGUAUCUUCGUGUAAGGACGGGUUUACUACUGUCCUUAUGCAGAUCGGCGGGGUGAUGGGAGUUUUAGGCUAUAUAGGAAACGCAUCAGGUGGGCUGAUCCCAAAAAUGCUUGAAGAAGCAUCUGAAGGAAUGAAAAAACUAAAGUGUUGGGCUAUGAACUGAUUAUUUUUAUAACAAUACUUUACAUCUUACAUCCUGAAUAGCCCUUUGAAGUAGUUUCCAAAUAAUGAAAAAAAGAAGCUAUAGAACAAUACAGACCCAUUACUUGCUCUGUUAUUUGAAGAAUUGUCUCCUGUGCAUCCUCCAACCCAGCCUAUUACCCCACUGAUAGCAAACACUCUGCUUCUAGAUAUGGAAAAGAAAAAUAUGUCAAUUGCAUCAGGCCACAUUGUUCCUAGAUUACAAAUUGAAGAUGACAACCAUAUUUGAGGCAAGAAAGUUUUUUUAAAAUAAAAACCUGGUUUGGAAUUAUGGAAGAGGAUAAGUUAUCCAAGGAAUACAUCUACUGUUGUAGGAAGUUAGCAUCCACCCCUCUCCUAGAAGAAUGAAAUAUUUUAGGAAAUUAAAAAGGCAGAAUAUUAUAUUUCCCUGGAGGAGAAAAGGAGAGACAAAGCAGCUCCCUGCCUCCCCCUUCCGUUCCAAGGUGAUAGGAUUAAGACAUGGCCCUCAGGACAUGAUAGGAUUAGCCCUCUACUCACCUAGCAACAGAACUCACCACAUGGCACCUGGGGAGAUUAUAUCAUCCAGCAAGAUUCAACCAAGUUUGGGACUCAAGGCACUACAAAGUUACCACUGCAUGGCCCCAUGGGAGUCUAACAACCAGUCAGAAUACAGAAAGAGGAAGCUCCAAGGCGGGACCCAAGAGAGGGUAUAAAUCUCUCCCUCCCUCUUUCUCCUCCCUCCCACCCUCUCUCCCUCCCUCCCCCCCAUGUGCUUUUUUUUUGCCCAGGACCUCAAAACCACAUGGUCCUGUCCACCAUUAAACCAUUUUUUCAAGCAGU